UACAAUACAAUAGGUAAUGACCGUCUAAACAAGCUAUAAAUGGGUAUUGUAAGUUGUCUAUCCUUAUGCAAGCUAUCAGUAGGGCGAUGAUUUCGUGGCUCGGGCCUGCCCGUAUAGCAUAGAGACAACUGUCACUGUUCCGAGGCUCUUCUUCAUGUCUAAACCAAAUACACAAUUAAACAAUAAUAGAGCAGCUUUUUCUAAUUAAUUAUGGUCUAAGCCAAAUAGCUUAGAGAUGUUGUCAUCAAGAUGAUGAUGAUUUCUGAAAUCAAUGGUGGAGAUAGCCCUACGAUUGAGGCUUAAUCUGUUGUCUUCAUAAUGCUUAGCAGCCUCAGUAAUGGAGGCUAAUAAAAUGGGAUAAUUCUUGAUGUUUUUGAGAGCAUCAGGAUGUGCCUCAGUUUUAGCAGAUUGGUUCAUCUUGUUUCUAAAUUUGAAAGCUGGAGUUGGUGAAGGAGGAGGACUUUCAAUAUUAUUAUUAUUAUUAUUCCUUCUGCUUAAGGAAAAUGAACUGCUAUUUGCACCACUAUGACCUUGCAUACUUGACUCUCCUUGCUUUUCCUGUUGAUCAAUCAAUUAAAUAUAGUUUAGUAUAAUAAGAGGCGGAGCAAUAAUUUAAAGUUUAUAUAUUCUGAAUAUGAUCAAACGCUAUCGAGUUAUUGUAUUCUGAAUAUAACUUAUUUUAGUUAUUGAGUUCGUAACUAAAAAUUAUACUUCCUCCAUUUCAAUUUAUGUGAAAAUAUUUGACUGGGCACGGAGUUUAAGAAAAGAAAGAAGACUUUUGAUCUUGUAUUGUAAAAUAAGGCACCUUUAUUUUAUGUGGGUAUAAACUAUUAUGUAAAGAUAAAUUGUUUACAAAUAUGGAAAGGGAUCAUUCUUUUUGGUACGGAUUAAAAAGAAAAUAGGUUCACAUAAAUUAAAACAAAAAAUAUAUAUAUUUUAUAAUUUUUUAAAUAUAAAUAUAAUUUAACCAAAUUCUAUUGAGUUCGUUGGAUGAGGUCAUGUAACUCAGGGGAUGAGUCCACGUGGUUGGAAUCCCUGGUCAGUCCUAACCGGACCGGCUCAAAAGCGAAAUACUUUUAUUCGAUUUGUUCCAGUAACAGAUGAUUAAUCAUCUGCUUUUGUGAAUAGCUAAGACAUUGAGGAUUAUAUGUUCGUCUACAAUGUGCAAUUUGCUUUUUAAAAUCUUACAAUAUUAUGUGAACAUUUAUAAUCCAAAUUUUUGAAGAACGGUGCUUCCCUUUUUUUAAGUUACAAAAAUAAUUAAAGCUGCACAUAGUUUUUUAUAUAUAGACUCACUCUUACAAAUAUUGCUAGACAAUAGUACCUUCAGUCAAGGGUGGAGAUGAAGACAGCAGACAGGGAACAUUUGAGGGGAGUAAUGAGAGUUGGUUAAUUGGUCUGACCAAUAAAAUUGCCAACCUCUUUUGUGUAUGUGUAUUUGGUGGCAUGCAUGUGGAACCAUUUAUGGCAUUUGUGUCCUAUUUUUGAAGGAAAAGUUUUUUGGUUUUCUAUUCGGUAUUUGUAUUAGAGUCCGACUAUAUUCGGAUUCCGCCGUUUAGAGCUCAUUCGAAGGAAACGCUCUCUAUUAAAGAUUUUUCCAUAUUCAAGACUGGAACUCGAUACCUUUAAUUAAGAAAAGAACAGUCCCAUGAAAAAAAAAGUUCAAUGUUUUAUGAAAUAAUUAUUACUCGUAUAAAACGAAAUAAAAUGAAAUUAUAAGAGAAAGAAAAUUGAGAGAGUGAUAAAAAUGGAUACCAUUUUAUCAUUCCUUCGGUUUAAGAUCAGGAAAAUAGAGAGAGGAAAAAAAUGAAAAAUGGUUUACUGAAAUAAGAUCACUAGGUCAGUAUGGCCAGGGCAAAUCUCCCGUACAAUAUACGGCUUCACGUGUCAGCAACUUUUUUCUAACAGUGUGCUAAAACUUUCACUAAGAACCUAUAAAUAUUUGAUCAUGAAUCCCAUUAUUAUCAUAAAUUUACUUAAAAUUAUCGUAAAGACCCAUAAACUUUAAAUCCUAAAUUCAUGUAUGAGUAUGACACUAAAAAAAUAUUCUAUAUUUUCAAUACUAUUCUUUGGAGCUCAAAAUUAUUGUGAGGGUUAAAAUCUAGAAAUUAUUCUUCAAACUAUAAUAAAUUGAAAACUAGGCCAUAAGUUGCAUUUUGUGCCCCUCAUUUUGUUAAUUUAUAAGAGACAUAUUCCUAGCGUACGUCUUUUUUCCUUUCAUAUAUAAUUUAAUAAAAAACUAAAAAGAUCGAAAAGGAGAAAGCAUUUACCUCUGCAGAAUAUUCAGAAAUAUUAGAGAGUAUUUUUCGGUAGCCCUCUUUAUUUUUUCGAACCCGUUUGCCUUUUAAUUUCUUCCUGUGGUGCAAUUCCCUCCACAUUAAAAUUGAACGAAUAGAGGGAAAAAUAUUAGAAAAAUAAAAUAAAGCAUCUUAAUUAAUUAUUAAAGCAAAAAAAGAAAAAAGAAAAUAAAACAAACACAGAAGAACUAAUCUAUAAACCCAUAGGUAAAUAAAUAAAUGAUGAUCUC
rnacentral:lncRNA from 1 species